ensembl:miRNA
UAGAAAAUGAAGAUAUUUCAUCAGGCAAAGGGACAUUUACAUAUGCUUUUUAAAAUUUGUUUGAGUUGAGGUAGAGUAAAUACCUGUAUUCUCCUUUGCCUGCAGGGAGUUCA